AUAAAUGAACUACCAAAUCUUAUCAUUUGGGUUUAAUUUUCUUUAUUUUGUCUAUAUGUAAUAGAACUUCGUUAUCAAAUUGGUUCUUAGCAUUCAGUUUAUCAUUAACUGCCGUGAGUGAUUGGAAACAUAUUAAAUUCUUUUGCUUUUAAUAUGGGUGGUUGUUGCAGUACGAGGAAAUCCGUUGACUUACCAACGGUACCACCCGCUAAUGGUAAACCUAAUUUAAGGGAUUACCCAGCUACCGGGGUUACUACAAUUAGAAAUCCUGGCACAAAUAUCGGUAGCACAAAUUUGGCGUUAGAGGAGGAUUAAUGGAAUAUUGCAUUCGUGAUGAUAAGCAUGAAAAAUAUUGUUUAAAUUUAAGCCUUUAUAUAAGUAUGUAGCUAAAUCUAAAUUUAAUAUGUACAUUAAAUAAAUUAUGUUAUGUUCGAAAAUAAGUGUCCAAAUGUUUAUAUUGGUUUAUAAAUAUAUUUUAUCAAAUACUA